AGUAUCAUUGACACCAAAUAUUCAAAUUGCUUCUAUUCUAGCAUCAUCUGCAUACAUAAUGCUGAUUUUGUUCUCCGGAUUCGUUGUGCCAAAACCACGUAUCCCCAAGUGGUGGCUUUGGCUGUAUUAUCUUUGUCCCACCUCUUGGAUACUAAAUGGCAUGCUUACCUCACAAUUUGGAGAUGUAAACAAAGAAAUAUCAGUGUUCGGUGAGAACAAAACCG
rnacentral:misc_RNA from 1 species